GGACAAAUGGACUUGGGGUAGGAGAGAGGGACAACAGUGGGAGCAAAAAGAUCUUGCUGUUUCAACCAAAACCUUGUGCUGACCAUAGUUGAGGAACGGAAGAAGAUGGUAAAAGCCUGCAGAUGUAGGUGUUCAGCAUGCCAUCUGAAAUAUUCCCCACAGAGGCAAAAAGCCGGGAAAUUAUUUCUGAAAAGGAAUGGGAAGACAAGUCAGCAGAAUAUGUCAAUCUUUUGGUUGAAGAAGCUGCUUGAAUUUGUGCUUUUCUGUAACAUAUGCUCUCCCACAGCCAGCACAGAGAAGGGCUUUUGGUGCAGGCCCAAGACCACCAUAAUCAUCAUUGAUUAUUCCUCUCCACCCCAGGGUCUCUAAAUAAAACGUCUCUUCUUUCUCUGA